AUGCCCAGUGAUUAUAAAAAGACGCGUUAUUCUGAGGAGCACAACCAGCUGCCAGUCUUUAUCUACCCUUCACUCUGUCUUUGAUCUCCAUCUUUCCUAUCCCUCCUACACUCCUUCUCUUCUCUUUCUCAAACUGGUAGCUGGUCCGCUGACUGCGAUUAUGAGAUAUGAGGGCAU
ensembl:snoRNA SNORD97 small nucleolar RNA, C/D box 97